AUUAAACGCUGGCGGCAUGCCUUACACAUGCAAGUCGAACGGUAACGGGCCUUCGGGUGCCGACGAGUGGCGAACGGGUGAGUAAUGUAUCGGAACGUACCUUUCAGUGGGGGAUAACGUAGCGAAGGUUACGCUAAUACCGCAUAUUCUGUGAGCAGGAAAGCAGGGGAUCGCAAGACCUUGCGCUGAUUGAGCGGCCGAUAUCAGAUUAGCUAGUUGGUGAGGUAAAGGCUCACCAAGGCGACGAUCUGUAGCGGGUCUGAGAGGAUGAUCCGCCACACUGGAACUGAGACACGGUCCAGACUCCUACGGGAGGCAGCAGUGGGGAAUUUUGGACAAUGGGGGCAACCCUGAUCCAGCCAUGCCGCGUGAGUGAAGAAGGCCUUCGGGUUGUAAAGCUCUUUCGGCCGGGAAGAAAUCGCACAGGCUAAUACCUUGUGUGGAUGACGGUACCGGAAUAAGAAGCACCGGCUAACUACGUGCCAGCCGCCGCCGUAAGAC
rnacentral:rRNA from 1 species